CAAAGCCGUGUGCAAUGAAAAAUGCAAGUACGGCUUGGGGAGGGAUUUUUUCUUGUUUUACUGUUGAAUCUGAUUAACAAAUAAAUUUUCUACUCCAUCCGACUAGUUCCGGGUUCGAGUCCCGGGCAACCCAUAAUAUAAUAUAUCGAAGUUAUGUGUACAUAACCAUAGAGAAGUCAUAUUAUGUAUAGAAAACCG